CUUGAGACUAUCAGCGAACCUGGAUUAAUAAAACAGUGAAAUCUUGCUGGAAGGUGCUAUCAUAGUAUAACUGGAUUUACCAGCCUGAGGAUUAAGGCGUCUCUUCAAGAUGGAUGUUAGAACAUCACAGAUGGUUAUUUUUUCAGGCCACCUGAUGUUCAAUUUGCUACACAGCCAUUCAUUAUUGAAAGUCUCAGAACCAUAAAGGAGAACAAAUUUUACAUUGCUGUUCAACAGUCAUAUUUGGAAAACUGUAGACAGCUCUUGACAUCCAUAUUGUGCGGAGGAUGUUGGAUACCUUGCUGAUAUGGCUUUUGAUGUCCUCAUCUGCUCCCCCAUCAUCUUACAACAGAUCCUAGAUGUGUAAAGGGAUCUUGCUCAAAUAGUCAUUUCUUGUGUGCUAAGUGGGAACUCCUGUUUGUUGUUGAUUCUUAUCACUUGUGUUUUUUCCAGUUGAUCAUUAAGCCUAUAUUAUUAUUAAGAAGGUUCAUCAUAGUUUGCUUAGCGUGGAUUGGGCAUGUUGUUGUCAAUGUGAGAGUAUAGCAUCCUCAAUAUCUAGACCUCCAGCUAAGUGAGGGUCCACUGAAUUCCACCCUUUUGGUCUGAUGUACUUUAUACGUGAAAAGCGUAUAACAUUUCUGUACUCACUGAAAAAGGGCUGGUUAACUUGUGGAUAAUCAGGCAGUUGGUGUCUUUGUAGAGGUGUUGGAUAAUAUUGCUGAAUUUCAGAGGAGUUUCUUAGCGAUUGAAUGUGCAAAUUCAAUUUUUUCAAUAUGUUGGCUUUCAUGUAGAGAUAUUCUGCUAUGC